AGUCGAGCGAGCGGAACUAAAGAUUUACUUCGGUAAUGACGUUAGGAAAGCGAGCGGCGGAUGGGUGAGUAACACGUGGGGAACCUGCCCCAUAGUCUGGGAUACCACUUGGAAACAGGUGCUAAUACCGGAUAAGAAAGCAGAUCGCAUGAUCAGCUUUUAAAAGGCGGCGUAAGCUGUCGCUAUGGGAUGGCCCCGCGGUGCAUUAGCUAGUUGGUAAGGUAAAGGCUUACCAAGGCGAUGAUGCAUAGCCGAGUUGAGAGACUGAUCGGCCACAUUGGGACUGAGACACGGCCCAAACUCCUACGGGAGGCAGCAGUAGGGAAUCUUCCACAAUGGACGCAAGUCUGAUGGAGCAACGCCGCGUGAGUGAAGAAGGUUUUCGGAUCGUAAAGCUCUGUUGUUGGUGAAGAAGGAUAGAGGUAGUAACUGGCCUUUAUUUGACGGUAAUCAACCAGAAAGUCACGGCUAACUACGUGCCAGCAGCCGCGGUAAUACGUAGGUGGCAAGCGUUGUCCGGAUUUAUUGGGCGUAAAGCGAGCGCAGGCGGAAGAAUAAGUCUGAUGUGAAAGCCCUCGGCUUAACCGAGGAACUGCAUCGGAAACUGUUUUUCUUGAGUGCAGAAGAGGAGAGUGGAACUCCAUGUGUAGCGGUAGAAUGCGUAGAUAUAUGGAAGAACACCAGUGGCGAAGGCGGCUCUCUGGUCUGCAACUGACGCUGAGGCUCGAAAGCAUGGGUAGCGAACAGGAUUAGAUACCCUGGUAGUCCAUGCCGUANACGAUGAGUGCUAAGUGUUGGGAGGUUUCCG
rnacentral:rRNA from 1 species